GAUGAACGCUGGCGGCGUGCCUAAUACAUGCAAGUCGAGCGAACAGACGAGGAGCUUGCUCCUCUGAUGUUAGCGGCGGACGGGUGAGUAACACGUGGAUAACCUACCUAUAAGACUGGGAUAACUUCGGGAAACCGGAGCUAAUACCGGAUAACAUGUUGAACCGCAUGGUUCAACAGUGAAAGACGGUCUUGCUGUCACUUAUAGAUGGAUCCGCGCCGCAUUAGCUAGUUGGUAAGGUAACAGCUUACCAAGGCAACGAUGCGUAGCCGACCUGAGAGGGUGAUCGGCCACACUGGAACUGCGACACGGUCCAGACUCCUACGGGAGGCAGCAGUAGGGAAUCUUCCGCAAUGGGCGAAAGCCUGACGGAGCAACGCCGCGUGAGUGAAGAAGGUCUUCGGAUCGUAAAACUCUGUUAUUAGGGAAGAACAAAUGUGUAAGUAACUAUGCACGUCUUGACGGUACCUAAUCAGAAAGCCACGGCUAACUACGUG
rnacentral:rRNA from 1 species